AUGGCGUGUCCACCGCACGCGAUCGUCAUCCCCUACCCAGCGCAGGGGCACGUCAUCCCGCUCAUGGAGGUCGCGCACGCGCUGGCCGACAGGGGCUUCAACGUCACCUUCGUCAACACCGAGUUCAACCACGCCCGUGUCGUCGCCUCCAUGUCCAACGGCGCCGGCAGCGGGCUGGGCCGGAUCCGGCUCGUGGAGGUGCCGGACGGCAUGGCCCCCAGGGAGGACCGGAACCAGCUGGUGAGGCUUACCAUACUCAUGGCAGAGUUCAUGGCGCCGCGGGUGGAGGAGCUCAUUCUCCGGAGCGGCGAGGACGGCGCGUGCCCGGGCAAGAUCACGUGCAUGGUGACGGACUACAACGUCGGGUAUUGGGCGGUUGACAUUGCGCGGAGGACCGGGAUCCGGGUGGGGGCCGUUUGGCCGGCGUCGGCUGCCGUCAUGGUCACCUUGCUCAGCUUUCCCAAGCUGAUCGAGGACAACAUCAUCGAUGCGGAAGAUGGGUCUACAGUGGGCGAGGGAACAUUCCAGCUGAGCCCCGACAUGCCUCUCAUGCACAGCGCCCACCUCGCAUGGAACUGCAUCGGCGACCACGACCAGCAGGCCACCCUCUACCGGCUCCUUUGUGACGGCGUCCGCGCAAUGGAGCAGUGCGACUUCGUCAUCUGCAACUCCUUCCAGGACGCGGAGCCGGCGUCUUUCAAACUCUUCCCCAACGUCCUCCCCGUUGGCCCGCUCCUCACCGGCGAGCGCAGCGGCAAGGCCGUGGGCCACUUCUGGCAGCCGGAGGACGACGAGUGCAUGUCCUGGCUCGACACGCAGCCAGAGAGAUCCGUAGUGUACGUCGCCUUCGGCAGCUUCACCAUGUUCCACCGGCGCCAAUUCGAGGAGCUCGCGCUGGGCCUAGAGCUCUCCGGCAGGCCAUUCCUGUGGGUCGUGCGCCCGGACAUCGGCCACGGAGCGGUGCACGACUACCCGGAAGGCUACCUGGACCGGGUGUGCGGCCCCGGUGGCCAGGGCAAGCUCGUCUCCUGGUCACCGCAGCAGCGCGUGCUGGCGCACCCGGCGGUGGCGUGCUUCGUGUCGCACUGCGGGUGGAACUCCACCAUGGAGGGCGUCCGGAACGGCGUGCCUUUCCUCGCCUGGCCCUACUUCGCCGACCAGUUCGUGAACCAGGUGUACAUCUCCGACGUGUGGAAGGUCGGCCUCAAGGCCGUCGCCGACGAGUCGGGGGUCAUAACCAAGGAGCACAUCGCUGGCAGGGUGGAGGAGCUGAUGGGGGACGCCGGCAUGAGGGAGAGGGUGGAGGCCAUGAAGAAGGGCGCACACGAGAGCAUUCAGGAAGGCGGCUCCUCGCAUGGAAACUUCGAUGCUUUUGCGGAGGCCAUGAAGAAUGCGGCGCCUGAGAGCGUUCAGGACGGGGGCUCCUCACAUGGAAACUUCCAUACUCUUGCAGACGGCAUGAAGGCAUGA
rnacentral:rRNA from 1 species